rnacentral:snoRNA from 1 species
AUUUCCAUCAGAAGUGAUUAAUUGCCCCCCCAGUCUGAGAUUUCAUGACUGAUUGGUACCUCUCUGAUCAAAA